AAGCCUUACAAGUGUGCUAAAUGCUCCAAGAGUUUCAGUCAGAGCUCCACGCUCUUUCAGCACAAGAAGAUCCAUACUGGGAAGAAAUCCCAUAAAUGUGCCGAUUAUGGGAAAAGUUUCUUUCAGAGUUCUAACCUCAUCCAGCACCGGCGGAUCCACACGGGGGAAAAGCCCUAUAAGUGUGACGAGUGUGGAGAGAGAUUCAAGCAGAGCUCCAAUUUCAUCCAGCACCAGAGGAUCCACACCGGCGAGAAGCCCUACUGCUGUGAUGUGUGGCCGGUGCUUUAGCCAGAGUUCCCACCUCAUCCAGCACCAGGGAACCCACACCGGAGAGAAGCCCUACCAGUGUGAGGCGUGUGACAAGUGCUUCAGCCAGAGCUCCCAUCUGAGGCAGCACAUGAAGGUGCACAAAGAAAAGAAGCCAUAUGUGUGUGUG
rnacentral:lncRNA from 1 species